UGCAUAUUAAAAAUCUUUUGUAAGUGGAGGUACAGAAUCAACACUAAUAAGGAUUUGAUUGAGUUCACAGGGUUCUAAUUAGGGUGUGAUUGAGUUCAUGGGCUUCUAAUUAGGAUAUGGUCCACUUCACGGGCCUGUCUCUAACACUAAAUAGGAUGUGAUUGAGUUCACGGGCCUGACUCUAACACUAAUUAGGAUAUGAUCCAGUUCACAGGCCUGAUUCUAACAUUAAUUAGGAUGUGAUUGAGUUCACGGGCCUGAUUCUAACACUAAUCAAAAUGUGAUCCAGUUCACGGGCCUGAUUCUAACACUAACUAGCAUGUGAUUGAGUUCACGGGCCUGCUUCUAACACUAAUUAGGAUAUGAUCCAGUUCACGGGCCUGAUUCUAACACUAAUUAAAAUGUGAUUGAGUUCACGGGCCUGAUUCUAACAUUAAUUAGCAUGUGAUUGAGUUCACGGGCCUACUUCUAACAUUAAUUAGGAUAUGAUCCAGUUCACGGGCCUGAUUCUAACACUAAUCAAAAUGUGAUCCAGUUCACGGGCCUGAUUCUAACACUAACUAGCAAGUGAUUGAGUUCACGGGCCUGAUUCUAACACUAAUUAGCAUGUGAUUGAGUUCACGGGCCUGAUUCUAAUACUAAUUAGGAUAUGAUCCAGUUCACGGGCCUGAUUCUAACACUAACUAGCAUGUGAUUGAGUUCACGGGCCUGAUUCUAACACUAAUUAGCAUGUGAUUGUGUUCACGGGCCUGAUUCUAAUACUAAUUAGGAUAUGAUCCAGUUCACGGGCCUGAUUCUAACACUAAUCAAAAUGUGAUCCAGUUCACGGGCCUGAUUCUAACACUAACUAGCAUGUGGUUGACUUCACGGGCCUGAUUCUAACACUAAUUAAAUUUGAUUGAGUUCACGGGUCUAAUUCUAACACUAAGUAAAAUGUGAUUGAGUUCACGGGCCUGCUUCUAACACUAAUUAGGAUAUGAUCCAGUUCACGGGCCUGAUUCUAACACUAAUCAGGAUAUGAUCCAGUUCACGGGCCUGAUUCUAACACUAACUAGCAUGUGGUUGACUUCACGGGCCUGAUUCUAACACUAAUUAAAUGUGAUUGAGUUCACGGGCCUAAUUCUAACACUAAGUAAAAUGUGAUUGAGUUCACGGGCCUGAUUCUAACACUAAUUAGGAUAUGAUCCAGUUCACGGGCCUGAUUCUAACACUAAUCAGGAUAUGAUCCAGUUCACGGGCCUGAUUCUAACACUAACUAGCAUGUGGUUGACUUCACGGUCCUGAUUCUAACACUAAUUAAAUGUGAUUGAGUUCACGGGCCUAAUUCUAACACUAAGUAAAAUGUGAUUCAGUUCACGGGCCUGAUUCUAAAACUAAUCAGGAUAUGAUCCAGUUCACGGGCUUGAUUCUAACACUAAUUAAAAUGUGAUCCAGUUCACGGGCCUGAUUCUAACACUAACUAGCAUGUGAUUGACUUCACGGGCCUGAUUCUAACACAAAUUAGGAUAUGAUCCAGUUAACGGGCCUGAUUCUAACACUAAUUAGGAUAUGCUCCAGUUCACGGGCCUGAUUCUAACACUAAUUGAAAUGUGAUUGAGUUCACGGGCCUGAUUCUAACACUAGUUAGCAUGUGAUUGAGUUCACGGGCCUGAUUCUAACACUAAUUAGCAUGUGAUUGAGUUCACGGGCCUGAUUCUAACACUAAUUAGGAUAUGAUCCAGUUCACGGGCCUGAUUCUAACACUAAUUAGGAUAUGCUCCAGUUCAGGGGGCUGACUCUAACACUAAUUAGGAUGUGAUUAAGAUCACAGGCCUCUAAUUAGAAUUAUAGCAUUAUUAUUUAUUUCCACAAAUCACAUUUUCAUACAACUCUUUAUAGUGAAAUGUUACACACAUCUAUUUUGAUUUAAAUCGUAUCAUUGAUUAUUCAUCUAUAACUUAGACUUGGGGGGGGGGGGUAUACUGGAAUCGGGUUGUCCGUCUGUCUGUCCGUCCGUCUGUAGACGCAAUGGUUUCCGGGCUCUAAAGCAUUAUCCUUUCCACCUACCGUCACCAUAUCAUAUAUAUGGACUACCCAUGGGAUGAAGAUGUUCCCUAUCGAUUUUGGGGUCAAAAGGUCAAAGGUCACGCGCACUGGACAUCAAAGUAGCAAUAUGGUUUCCAUUUAAAUUCUUUAAUGGCUUUUUUCAUCGCAUGGAGAUGCUGUGUUCCUAGAUACCUUUUGGAUCAUAAUAUUGAAGUUUUACCUAUUUCCAACACCCUUUAGGAGAUUGGGGUAAGCGAGGGGUAUUCUUAGUGAGGAUUGCUCACAGUACCUCUUGUUUUAACAGGUUGUUUUUUUUACAAUAACUAUCGGAAAAGACUAACAAAAUUUAUGUUCCUAUCAUGCAUAAAUCUAAAUAAAUCAUUGAUUUUGCAAAAUCUGAUGACAUCACAGGAGGGUGGAAUUACUUUAGGUCAUGUUUAGUGCUGUGUGUAUAUAAACAUGCACACAUAUAAUUAUAUCUUCCCUCUUCCAGGGGGAGACAUAUUGUAUUUGUACUUUCUGUCCGUCCUUCCUUCUGUCACAAAAUCUUGUGAACGCUUCUCCACCUAUAUGGCUUAUCAGAUAGACUUGAAACUUUGUACAAUGCUUCAUUGUCAUUUGCAGAUGUGAAUAUUGUUGGGACGGGAGGAUCCAAUUGUUUUCCUAAGAGUUAUAGUGGAUCUAAGAGGGGUGGAAGAUGUAAAAUAGCUUAUGAACUCAUCUCCUCCCAUAUGGCUUAUUGGAUAGACUUGAAACUUUGUACAAUGCUUAAUUGUCAUUUGUAGAUGUGCAUAUUGUCGUAAUGGGAGGAUCCAAAGUUUUUCCUAAAAGAUAUAGUGGAUCUAAAAGGGGUGGAGGAUGUUAAAAUACCUUGUGAACACUUCUCCUAUAUGGCUUAUCUGAUAGACUUGAGAAUUUGUACAAUGCUUCAAUGCCAUUUGUAGAUGUGCAAGUUGUAGGGACAGGAGGAUCCAAUUGUUUUCCUAAGAGUUAUAGUGGAUCUAAGAGGGGUGGAAGAUGUAAAAUAGCUUAUGAACUCUUCUCCUCCCAUAUGGCUUAUUGGAUAGACUUGAAACUUUGUACAAUGCUUAAUUGUCAUUUGUAGAUGUGCAUAUUGUCGGAAUGGGAGGAUCCAAAGUUUUUCCUAAAAGAUAUAGUGGAUCUAAAAGGGGUGGAGGAUGUUAAAAUACCUUGUGAACACUUCUCCUAUAUGGCUUAUCUGAUAGACUUGAGAAUUUGUACAAUGCUUCAAUGCCAUUUGUAGAUGUGCAAGUUGUAGAGACAGGAGGAUCCAAUUGCUAUCCUUAAAGUUAAAGUGGAUCUGAGGGGUGUAGGGUAUAAAAUAGUUUGUGAACGCUUCUCCUCCUAUAUGGCUUAUCAGAGUUCAUGUCUAUCUUCCUGCCCAUGCUUUCUCCUCCAUACUAUUCAAUACAUUAAGGGGGAUGUUUCCUAUAUUUUACGAAUUAAUUGGUUGAUUGACAACAAACUUGGUACACUUGUACAGCAUAUAUAAGGAGUAGAUGACCCCUAUUGAUUCUUAGGUCACAUGGUCAGUCCACUCUUGACAUAGGAAGGUAUUGUCUGCUCAAUAUUUUGAAUUGCUGUAACUACUAUUAAUUAAAUGAGGCACGGGUAUAACCCUUUCAAUUUUGCAACUUGGGGGGCAUAUGUGUUUUAGAAACAUCUCUUGUGUUGUAUUAUAUGAAUUACAGUUUUUAGUGUGCUCAGUUUAGAGAAUAGCAUAAAAGUAUUUGAUAAUUAAAUAUCUUGCAGAUUGGCAGUUUACUCCAUGCACCGACAGGAAUGAUAAACUGUGAUAUUCGUAAAUGGAACUGGGACACGUUCUAAAUAUACUCAGGGACAGAAUGAUGUGCAGCAAGGCUCGUCAUGGAUUUUACCAAAUACAGAACACUGCAAGGCUUGCAAAAUGAAGACCUCAGUAAAAAAAAUUCUAAAUUAUCCACUAAUGGCAGCUCACUACCUACCCCUUGUGAUGUUAAAAGAGGCCGUUGUUCUCAUUUGUUCCAAAACAGGAAUGGCAUAUGAGGAGGCCAACAGAAGAUGCACCUCCACUGACCUCCACUGAGUGUGCACUCACAAAACGAAUAAAUUAUUAUUAUUUCUUUUGUUUGUAAUUGUAUAUUGUCAACAAGGUCAAAGGCACUUGAUCCGAUGCCAAACUUUUGCAUUUCUUUUGCUUUGUGGUAAAUUUUCUUCAGCAACAUUAACAUUGUUUAAAUUGUUUUCUUUGGAGAGUAUACAUGUACACAUGGAUCAUUUGUAUAUUAGAAUUAUAGCAUUGUUUAAUUCAACUCAUUCUUAUCAUAGAGAGGUUAUUAUAUACUGCAGGCAACGACUUGUAAAGGGUAUACUGUUUUAACUCACGUGCAAGGCAAGGCAGUAUUAUGAAACUCUGUAGUUGAUAAGGACAUAUAUCACAUAUCGAUAUGCAUAUUUACAGGAAACUCUGAUGUAUUUUAAAUCUGAACGUUAAUUUAAAAGUGGGGAGAAAUAGCAUUGGAUGAAAAAAGACACAUAUGAAGAAAAUUAUUCCAUACGUAAAUACUUUUUGGCUCACCUGAGCUGAAAGCUCAAGUGAGCUUUUCUGAUCGCCUGUUGUUCAUUGUCUGUCCGUGAUUAAACAUUUUAUAUUUUCUCCAGAAGCACUGGGCCAAUAAUAACCAAACUUAGCCAAAAGUAUCCUUGGGUAAAGGGCUUUCGAGUUUGUUCAAAUGAAGGGCCAUGCCCUCUUCAAAGGGGAGAUGACCACAAAAAUAGGGUGGGUCAUUUAAUUUUUUUUAUCAAGAACCACUGGGCCAGAAGAGCUGAAAUGUACAUGAAAGCUUCCUGACAUAGUACAGAUUCAAGUUUAUUGAAAUCAUGGCCUCCAGGGGUUGUAUGGGGCCACAAUAGAGAAUCAAAGUUUUACAUACAAUUAUUCAGGAAAACUCUUUCAAUAUGAGCCAAGGUGGCUCAGGUGAGCGAUGUGGCCCAUGGGCCUCUUGUUCAACAUAUAGAAUAAAUAGUUAUGUUGUAUUUCCCAUGGAACAUUGAAACGUUUAAUACGUUUACAAUUAAUCACUGAAAGAAAGAUAAAAUUGUUGUUUCAUAUGUUUUAUGAAAACUUAAAGAUGUUUCAUUUCUUUUCAUGAAAGACCCCUUAAUUACCCAGUAAUAUAUAAUCAAUUCUUAACAGAUUAUGUAAAUUUGAUUUAUAUUAAGGAUGUUUGAUCUGAUUACCCAUCAUUAUCAAUCUGUCUAAUAUAGCCAUCAUGUGUUACUAUUGCUACGCAAUCUUGGAGCAUGAGGUAGAAUGCGAGCCAGCUCUUUCAUAAGUACAUAUAUCUGGAAAAUAUUUCAAUGUCAAAGGUUACAACAAUGUGAUAAUUUAAUCAUUGUAUGUCUAAGGUGUUGAUAAUAAAACUGUUAUCUGUUCAA